AGUGAUGUUAAUAUUCAGACGAAAGAGAUUUUCGCCUCAAAUACAGAUCAGCCACUUGGGCAGCUGUGGCGGGGUAUGUGUUAAGCGAGGUGCAGCUCCUCA
rnacentral:lncRNA from 1 species